AUACGGAGGAUGCGAGCGUUAUCCGGAUUUAUUGGGUUUAAAGGGAGCGUAGGCGGGAGCUUAAGUCAGCGGUUAAAUGGUGCGGCUCAACCGUGCCCUGCCGUUGAAACUGGGUUUCUUGAGAGUGCAAGAGGCGGAUGGAAUUCAUGGGGUCGCGGUGGAAUGCUUAGAUAUCAUGAAGAACUCCGAUUGCGAAGGCAGUCCGCUGGGGCACGUCUGACGCUGAUGCUCGAAGGUGCGGGAAUCAAACAGGAUUAGAUACCCUGGUAGUCCGCACGGUAAACGAUGAUUACCCGCUGUCGGCGGCAGACAGUCGGCGGCCAAGCGAAAGCGAUAAGUAAUCCACCUGGGGAGUACGCCGGCAACGGUGAAACUCAAAUGAAUUGGCGGGG
rnacentral:rRNA from 1 species